UUUUUUUAUUCCGAAGUUAUUUAUCAACAUGGAAUCUUAUCCUCAUCUGGUAAGUAGUCAAAUACCACAUAUUAUAUAUUUAAAUACCAAAUUUGUGCAAAUAUAUGUCCCACAUAUUUUAUAAUACACGAGUUUGCCAGUUCGGCAAAUAUUUACUAUACUAUCUAUAGUUAAUAUUGCCGUAUCUUCGGCGUAGAGUUUACAUGGAAUGCACUCUGGAAUUUUUUUAUUAAUAUAUUACACUGCAUAAAAUAUUGGAUAUUUUCGAGGAUAUUUUAAGCCAUUUAUCAACAUAGUUCACAAAAAGAUUUAUACAGUAUUAAAAACAAUCCUUCUGUGACUUCUGUAAUAUUUCAAACAAUGAAAACAUUCUCAGGAGAUAUUGAAUUAAAUCCUGGUCCUGUAUUUCUGUAUAUUGACUCCAUAACUCUGUUCAAAACAACAGUCCAACUAUAAAGCUGUCAUCAAAUGUAGUGUUAGAGCAAAGGUUGAAGAUGUUAUCAGUUAAAAUACUUAUACUGUUAUACAUUUUGGUUUUACACAUUAGAGUUAAUUAAACAAAAUUUUUAUAAACACUUUCAAAUAAAAGAAUCCUCACCCUCCCAAACCUCAUUACAUUGUCAUUUUGCUUUCUAACAUAAAUAUUUUUCUUUAGAGAUUAAUACAAGAAUGAAGAAUAAAUGUACUGGAUAUUGGCUGGAUAAUUUUGUCAGAACAACAAACUUGCAGGACUAUCUUACCUAAAUUCAUUAGUAUGGAAAAUAAUUUACUAUGUAACAGCUACAAUGAGUAAUCAUAUAUUAUAUGGUGGAUUUGAUCGAUGGCACACAAUGUACAAAACUAAACUUGUGAUACCUUCUACUCAAACCGAUUAUCUCCCACAUCACGAUUGUUUUUGUGUGAAUGUGCUGUACGUGUUAAACCGAACAGUGUGGUAUAUCAUUAACUGUGCACAGAACUGGAAUUUAAUUAUAUACUUCACUCAUGACCUUCAAAUUAUUCUCAAUUAUUCAGUGGUCUUCGACAUGUUCACCAAAUAUUUUGUGUAUGUUACUCAACAGUUAACAUUGGCAAGUAUAAACAACAAGUGACAUAACUUUUGCUUCAUAUGAUUACAAUAAAGUUUUGAAAAUUUGAUGAGUAUGGAUUGAAUUGACAGGUGACAGUUUACUAAAUAGCCUGCUGUAUAGACACUUUGAAUAUUAAGUUCUUUGUAUGUUUGCAUGGUGAUAAAAUAUAAUAGGUUUUGUUUGUGGAAACACCACGUAAAUUUAUUACUGCAAAUAAAAUAGAGAUAG